UGCGUCCGUGAAGUCGAAGGU
rnacentral:snRNA from 1 species